rnacentral:rRNA from 1 species
CCUACGGGGUGCAGCAGUGAGGAAUAUUGGUCAAUGGCCGGAAGGCUGAACCAGCCAUGCCGCGUGAAGGUCAGUGCCCUAUGGGCGUUAAACUUCUUUUGUGCGGGAGCAAUAAUGGUCACGUGUGGCCAGACGAGAGUACCGUACGAAUAAGCAUCGGCUAACUCCGUGCCAGCAGCCGCGGUAAUACGGGGGAUGCAAGCGUUAUCCGGAGUUAUUGGGUUUAAAGGGUGCGUAGGCUGUGAGGUAAGUCAGCGGGGAAAUGCCCCCGCUCAACGGGGUGAAGUGCCAUUGAUACUGCCUUGCUGGAAUGCGGAUGCCGUGGGAGGAAUGUGUGGUGUAGCGGUGAAAUGCAUAGAUAUCACACAGAACACCGAUUGCGAAGGCAUCUCACGAAUCCGCGAUUGACGCUGAUGCACGAAAGCGUGGGUAUCAAACAGGAUUAGAUACCCGGGUAGUC